rnacentral:rRNA from 1 species
AAUAGAUACCCUGGUAGUCCACGCCGUAAACGGUGGGUACUAGGUGUGGGUUUCCUUCCUUGGGAUCCGUGCCGUAGCUAACGCAUUAAGUACCCCGCCUGGGGAGUACGGCCGCAAGGCUAAAACUCAAAGGAAUUGGCGGGGGGCCCGCACAAGCGGCGGAGCAUGUGGAUUAAUUCGAUGCAACGCGAAGAACCUUACCUGGGUUUGACAUGCACAGGACGCCGGCAGAGAUGUCGGUUCCCUUGUGGCCUGUGUGCAGGUGGUGCAUGGCUGUCGUCAGCUCGUGUCGUGAGAUGUUGGGUUAAGUCCCGCAACGAGCGCAACCCUUGUCCUAUGUUGCCAGCGGGUUAUGCCGGGGACUCGUAGGAGACUGCCGGGGUCAACUCGGAGGAAGGUGGGGAUGACGUCAAGUCAUCAUGCCCCUUAUGUCCAGGGCUUCACACAUGCUACAAUGGCCGGUACAAAGGGCUGCGAUGCCGUGAGGUGGAGCGAAUCCUUGGUAAAGCCGGUCUCAGUUCGGAUCGGGGUCUGCAACUCGACCC